UACGUAGGGCGCAAGCGUUAUCCGGAAUUAUUGGGCGUAAAGAGCUCGUAGGCGGUUUGUCGCGUCUGCUGUGAAAGACCGGGGCUCAACUCCGGUUCUGCAGUGGGUACGGGCAGACUAGAGUGAUGUAGGGGAGACUGGAAUUCCUGGUGUAGCGGUGAAAUGCGCAGAUAUCAGGAGGAACACCGAUGGCGAAGGCGGCAUCCUGGACCGACACUGACGCUGAGGAGCGAAAGCCAGGGGAGCAAACGGG
rnacentral:rRNA from 1 species